ensembl:lncRNA
GUGAAAGUAUUCUGUCAAAGAAUCACAGAAUGUCUUAGGUUGGAAGGGAUCAUAAAGCCUAUCCAAUAACAACCUCCCUUGCCAUGGGCAGGGUGGCCACCCACCAGCUCAGGCUGCCCAGGAUCCCACCCAACCUGGCCUUGAAUGCCUCCAGCAAUGGGGCAUCCACAGCUCUCUGGGCAGCCUGUUCUGGCACCUCACCACCCUCUGAGUAAAGAAUUUCUUCCUAAUGUAUAACCUAAAUUACCCCUCUUUUAAAACCACUCCCCUAUCACUAUCAGACAAUGUAAAAAGUCAGUUUCCCUCUUGUUUAUAAGCUUCCCUCAAGUACAGGAAGGCCUCAGUGAGGUUUCCUCAGAGCCUUCUCCAAGCUAAACAAGCCUAGCUCCCCUCAGCCCUUCUUCAAAGCAGAGGUGCUCCAGACCCUGCUUCACAUUUCUUCCUGCUCUCUCAGAAGAUCACAUCACCCAUAGGAAGGCUAUCAUGGGCAGGGCAGGAGACAGCACCCUUCAAAACAGUUUCAUCCAAAGCCCCUGGCUUUUGGGAAGACAUUUUCCUUGUCAAGGAGGCUAGUCAGCUGCAGGGAGCUGGUGAACCAGUGUACUGCAGAAAGGUAUGACAUUUCUGGAGUACUCACUGUGACUUGCCCAGAGAGGCUGUGGAUGCCCUGUCCCUGGAGGUGUUCAAGGCCAGGUUGGAUGGGGCCCUGGGAGCCUGGUCUAGUAUUAAAUGUGGAGGUUGGCUGUCCUGCCUGUGGUAGGGGGGUUGGAGCUUGAUGAUCCUUGAGGUCCCUUCCAACCCAAGCCAUUCUAUGAUUCUAUGAUUCUAUGCCUGUGACUUAGAGCCUCUGCAGUGAAGAGAGCAGGAGCAAGGACAGAGGAACAGAAGACUGAGUGAUGGGCUUCGGUCACUAAGCAAAAGGAACUUCUGGGAUUGAAAGAACAAGAGCAAAUGGCGUUAAACUGAAAGAGGGGACAUUUAGGUUAGAUGUUAGGAGGAAAUUCUUUACUCGAUGGUGAGGCACCGGCACAGACUGCCCAGAGGAGCUGUGGGUGCCCCAUCCCUGGAGGCAUUUAAGGCCAGGUUGGAUGGGUCCUUGCGCAGCCUGAGCUGCUGGGUCGCAGCCCCGCCCACUGGGUGGGCUUUGAGAUCCCUUCCAACCCAAAUCUUUCUGUGAUUCCCUAACAGGUCUGACACAGUCUGUCAGUUCUGUGCCGUGCACGUAGGCAUGUGGGCACAAUCUAGCUAUCGUGUUACUCUUAUUUUAUAAAGAACAAGGCUCGGGCAGGAUGACCCAGCUGGCCGCCCGGCUCAGCGCUGAGGCGGCAGGGCGCAGCCCAGAGCCCUCCCCUUGGACAGGCGGGAAUCCUCCUCACAGCGAACUGCUUGGAGCUCAGCACACCCGCCCCUCCCACUGGAGGGAGGGAGGCCAUCACCAGUCAGAGUGCCGGGGGCAGCCGCCCAUUCCUGCGUUUUAUCAAGGUAAAAUAACUUGUCAUAACCAUAUGAGAAAAUCUUAAGUCAUAAGUGAUACUGGUCUCACAGAAUUGUAAGAGUUGGAAGGGACCUCUGGAGAUUUUCUAGUCCAGCCUCCUGCUAAAGCAGGUUCCUUACAACAGGUUGCACAGGAGAGCAUCCAGGUGGGUCUUGAAUAUCUCCAGAGUAGGAGAUUCCCCUGCCUCUCUGGACAGCCUGUUCCAGUGCUCUGUCACCCUCACAGUAAAGGAGUUCUUCUGCCCAAGUGCACACAGUACAUCAGUAACACCUUGACUUGUCAUGCAAGUUUCUAGUCUUGCAAACUAUGUUUGCAGCCACUCUUCAACUAUCCUCCCUCACCUCCUGAAUCCCACCCUCCUUUUCCAGUGCCCAGGUUUAAAACACUGCUCUUGUUCCCCCGUCUCUGGCAUCUGGAAAAGGAAGUGAGAGAGGAGCACAGAGCAUAAUCCAUCCUGAAGACUUGCAUCUUCACUCUCCUGUGGGAAACUUUGACGUGUGGAAGCUGCCAGAGCGUAGCUACAGCUGCAUUCUUCAGCAUCCCUGCUCGACACGUAGGGGUUGCUGCUAUUCCCAGUGCCCUGCCAGAUCAGGUAUUUCUCGGAUAAAACCACAGACUUGCAUAUACAAUGCUUAAAGAGUAAGGAUCAUGUUGAGGCAACAUAGGACUUCAAAGGAGAGUGGUCUCAGUAGGUCUAAAAUCAGUCACUGGAAAUUCAGGCCAAAACUGAGAAUGUACACAAGGCGGAAAAAAGUGGCAGUAGUGACUGUGGCCCAGAUUCUUCAGACUGUUGUACAAAUAUAUAAGGUGAAUAAAUUUCUCACUAACUGCACCAGAGAGAGAACUGCUGUGCCACUUGUGCUGCAGACAUCAGCCAAGCUUCUGCCAGCUUUAGCAGGAUCAGGACUUCAUUCCAAGGGCAGAUGAGAUAAGGGAGAGAUACCAGGUGAAUGAACUAGAGGAGCUAGAAGCAUUCUGUAUCUGUAGUGAGGCUCUUCUGGAGGGAGGAGAGUUGAUGCCUGUGUGUCCUGAGCAUCAACUCAUUUUUAAGCAGUAUUACUGUUUUGCUGGGCUCUUUUUAAUGCUUUGAUUUUUCAGUUGAACUUUUUACAAAAAUUGAGGGAGGGGAAAACAGCCUGUAAGAGCAGAAGAUACUUUAUACACUGUUGAUCGUGGGCUCACAGGAAUGUGUGAGCCCUCACCUCCUGAAUCCCAGCCUUCCCACCCUCCCUUUCCAGUGCCCAGGUUUAAAGUACUGUUCCUGUGCCCCGGUCUCUAGCAUCUGGAAAAGGAAGUGAGAGAGGAGCACAGGGCAUAAUCCAUCCUUGGCAACACUGUGGGUUGGGGUUUUGUUUUGUUUUGUUUUUCCUGGCUUCUUCUAGAAGUGUUUUAACCCUGGGGGUAGUUUUCAAAGGGUUCAGUGAUCCUCUCUAACAGUUCACCAUCUCUGAAAUCUUGGGGUUAUAAGUCUGUGUUACUGGUCCAGAGAUAGGAAAGCUGGAGGUAGCUCGAGUUCCUGUUGUUUGUGAAGCAGAAGUGAAAACUAUGUAAUCUGAGGAGAACUGCCCUGAGGUGAAGUUAGCUAAUAGUGCUUGUGUGUGUUUAGGCUGUUAUAUUGGGAUUUGCUCUUGCUCUACUGGUGUGAAGCAUUACUAAGUAUGGGAGGGCCGUGAGUGCAGGUGUUGACCACUGUACCACACUACUUGAGGGUGGUAGGCUGCCUAUAAUAAUGGUAAUGUAGACUGUCAGCACAGCAUAUACUCUCAUCCGGGGGUACAUGCAAAGAGGGGAACUCACUAGAGAUGGAGAUUUUCUCGUAGAUAUGUUUGUUUACUAUGGAGUGAAUAGACACCUAGAAAUUAGCUGAAGUAAUGCUUUGGCAAAAAGAAAACACCCAAGUGAAGUUGUCACAGAAAUAAGAGCCCACAUAUUUACCUUCACAGAGAGGAAUAUCUUUUCCAAGUGGGAAGUGUAGCCCAGUGGAUUCUUGUUAGAAGUGUAUUUUAGAUGCAUCUCCUCAGAGUUUCGUUGGUAUCAAGAGGCAAACUUGUAAGGGCUAAGAAAACUUGUUUCAGCUUUACAGUUAGUAAUUGACAGUACUUGGCUCAGAGCUUCCAUUCCAGAUCUAUGAAGAAACAGACCUGAGCUGCAAAAUGUUGGAUUAGAUUAUGUCCUUUAUUCAAACACAGGACUUCAGAUGCAUUGCCAGAGAUGGGUGGGGGAUCUGAAAGUUGAGAAGUUCCCAUGUGCUCCCUCUUAGUGGUACGAGGGAGAUAAUCUGGAGGACAAGAGCAAGGGAAACAGAUGGGUUGAGAUGAAGACAAUGUAGUAAGCAUGGAGUGGCAGGAAGGGAGCUGGGAUUGUUAGUGUGGAAAUGAAGAAACUCAGAGGCCUUAUUGCUUUCUACAACUGCCUGAUUGUAACUUGGUCAGAGUUGGUCUCUUCUCCCAGGAAAAUAUCAGUAGGAAGAGACAAGUGAUGCAAAGGGAGUGACAGAGGUGUUUUGCUGCUGCACAUAGUUAAAACAUUGGUGUGUGGGCUGCAGGCAGCCCCGUGUUGUUCAAGGGCAGCGGUGCGCAUCCCCACCUGCCACAGUAAGCAAGCAGAAUCCUCUGUUUUCUGUCUUACAUGCAAGAUUUGCAGUCACUCCUAUACAAAUCUUAUUUGCUUCUGCAACAGCCUGGAGUUUGGGAACAGGAUCAUGUCUAUGGCCUGCUGGGGAGGUAGGGAGCAGUGUGUGAAUAUCUGCCUGUCUUUCAGUGCUGAGCAUCUCGUCCUGGGUCCUCUGCAACUGCAGACAUCGUGAUUCAGAGGGAAUGUAACUACUUGGGGGAAUUCACAAUGGGGGGAAAAAAAAAAAAGCCUGAAAAAAGGGUAACUGGAAAGUUAGAAAAAAACCAAACAAACAGAAAACCCAAAAAGCAAAGCCAGCCAUACCCUCAGCUGCAUUAAAAGAAACAUGGCCAGGAGGUCAAGGGAGGUGAUCCUGCCCCUCUGCUCUGCGCUGGUGAGACCUCGCUUGGAGUACUGUUUCCAGAUGUGGAGUCCUCAGUACAGGAGAGACAUGGACCUGCUGGAGUGCACCCAGAGGAGGGCCACAAAAAUGGUCCAAGGGGUGGGACACCUCUCCUAUGAGGACAGGCUGAGAGCUGGGGCUGUUCAGCCUGGAGAAGAGAAGACUUCGAGGUGACCUGAUAGCAGCCUUUCAGUAUCUAAAGGAGGGCUAUAGGAAAGAAGGGUAGACUCGUAGUCUGUGGUGAUAGGAUGAGGGGAAAUGGUUUCACGCUAAAAGAGGGAAGUUUUAGCUUGGAUGUAAGGAAGAAGUUGUUUGUGAUAAGGGUGGUGAGGCACUGAAACAGGUUGCCCGGAGAGGUGGUGGAUGUUCCAUUCCUGGAAACAUGGAAGGUCAGGCUGGAUGGGGCUCUGAACAGCCGGAUCUAGCUGUAGGUGUCUCUGUUUAUUGCAGGGGAGUAGGACUAUAUGACUUUUAUGUUUCUGCUGUCUAUUCUAAUCCUGCUUUUCUUUUUUCCUUCAAUCCAUCUGUCUUUCACAAGAGUGAAUGAAGCUAAUAUCUUCCAGCUUUAAGACACAUGCAUUUUGGUGCCAGGAGUGCUGUUGUGUGUUCUUAUGAACUACGCUAGAUCAUCAGCCCCUUAAACAGCCAAGCAGAUAGGAGAGUGCUGGGGAAGAGUAACACAAAUCCUUUGUCAUGUAGGUCACUAGACCAAGUCAUACUGUUGCAGUGGGGAAUGGCCAAAGUAUCUGCCAUCAGAUAGGAGUUCUGUGCCCUCCUGGAGUGUUCUGGAGUUAACAGUGGUUGCACAUACACUACUCAGUCUGGUUUCUUACCUGAAGUACUGGGAUGAACGCAGGGCCGGAGCGGGAUGCUUUUUGGCUUGUAAACAACUGUGUUACCCUUGAAGAAGUUUUCUGUAUUUUUAAUUUUCUAAAUGAAUGUUUUCACAGUUUUGGUGGCUCAAAAUCAUGACGUUUGUGUGAUGGGCCUGGAAAAGAUGACACAGAACUGAGCAAAUGCCUUCUCUGGACUUCAGCUUCCCUCUUGAUACAAUGAGAAUGAAACUGCAAUUCACUUCACCAUCUCUGGAAAGGAAAACUGGGUGUAUAUGGAGGAUCCUCUUUCAUAGUAAAUAUACACUGUUCAGAAGGAGAUCAGCAGCUUUGUGGCCAAGUGUGAAGAUGACAGUGUUGAAAAUGAAGGAGAAUCUUAGGUCAUAAAUAAUUGCCUUGUGACCCAAACGACGGUUUGAACCAGUGGAAGAGAAUUCAGUAGUGGAAGAGCAGCUAUCUGUUCUCCUGGAAGCAUUCCAGAAGCACUAAAGUUGCCCAUAAAGUGAUGUUUUGAAGACUAGUCCAGCUGUUUCCAGUGCCUAUUUUUCAUUCCUUGGAGUGGACGGCCUCCUUUUUGAAUGUUGCUGCAUGGAGGCUGUUAACACCCACCAGGCUGCGAGGAGAUGAUGCGUACUGUCUGUGGCACACUGCUUCUGGAACGUAGGUUUGCAGUGCCCUUCAGCAGCAGAUUAAUUUACUAACAUCCAAAACAGCAACAGGAAGAGAGAAGAGAGUGAAGAGUUGGACCAGGAGGAUGGAAAGGAGAGGAAUGGAGUGGUGAAUGUUAAGUGGGGUUUCUGGAGCCAAAUGAAUGAUGGCAGGAGUUCACUAUUGUGGCAACAUCAAACAGUGACAAAUUAGAGAGCACUGAAUUCAAGAUUUUCUGCGCUGCCUUCACUUAUUCCCCCUAUGCUCUACUGCAUUCUGAUAACAGACUGGUAAUUUCAGCACCCAGCAAUAGCAGAUGGAAUCUAUUCAUCAUCCCAAUGACCCGGCACAUCAUAACCCACUCAUCAUCCAAUGACCCAGCACAUCAUACUGGGCACUGUAACUUGCCAGAGAUCACCGAGAGAUUGGGUCCUCUUGGAAAAGUGUGCAUAACGGACUGGAAGGACCCCAGCAGGGACAACUUGCCACUUAUCAGAUGUUUCUGAAGUCUUUUCUUCCAUGUGAGCGGAGGAAGAGCUCAUCCUGACAACCACCUCCCACUCCAGCAACACUCACCUGUGGGGAGAGAGCUCAUCUCAUGGAUGCUGUCAUUGUGGACUCGACACACCACAAAGCACUGCCAAGCAGCUAAUAAUGUAGUAGUGUGAUGUGUGUAAAUACACAUGGAGAUUUUAUAUACAGGUGUAUAUGUCUAUCUGUAUGUGUACGAGAGCAAGGCGUG